rnacentral:rRNA from 1 species
GAUGAACGCUGGCGGCGUGCCUAAUACAUGCAAGUCGAGCGAACGGACGAGAAGCUUGCUUCUCUGAUGUUAGCGGCGGACGGGUGAGUAACACGUGGAUAACCUACCUAUAAGACUGGGAUAACUUCGGGAAACCGGAGCUGAUACCGGAUAAUAUUUUGAACCGCAUGGUUCAAAAGUGAAAGACGGUCUUGCUGUCACUUAUAGAUGGAUCCGCGCUGCAUUAGCUAGUUGGUAAGGUAACGGCUUACCAAGGCAACGAUGCAUAGCCGACCUGAGAGGGUGAUCGGCCACACUGGAACUGAGACACGGUCCAGACUCCUACGGGAGGCAGCAGUAGGGAAUCUUCCGCAAUGGGCGAAAGCCUGACGGAGCAACGCCGCGUGAGUGAUGAAGGUCUUCGGAUAGUAAAACUCUGUUAUUAGGGAAGAACAUAUGUGUAAGUAACUGUGCACAUCUUGACGGUACCUAAUCAGAAAGCCACGGCUAACUACGUG